rnacentral:rRNA from 1 species
UACGUAGGGGGCUAGCGUUGUCCGGAUUUAUUGGGCGUAAAGAGCGUGUAGGCGGCCUGACAGGUCUGCUGUGAAAACUCGAGGCUCAACCUCGAGAUGUCGGCGGAAACCGUCUGGCUAGAGUCCGGAAGAGGAGAGUGGAAUUCCUGGUGUAGCGGUGAAAUGCGCAGAUAUCAGGAGGAACACCAGUGGCGAAGGCGGUGUUCUGGACUGCAACUGACACUGAGGAACGAAAGCCAGGGGAGCAAACGGG